rnacentral:piRNA from 1 species
UAGACAGGAAGGAUAUGGAAGAACAGGCCU